UUUAUGGGAAUGAAGGCUAAAAGCGUCACGUCCUGUGUCAACGCAUUCGCUUUCGUGACCAACAUCCUGUUGC
rnacentral:sRNA from 1 species